CCUCAGAUAUUCGACGUUUCGUCGAAACAACCGCUGCUUCGUGGCCUAUGGUAAGUAAUUUCUAGAAAAAUCACUGGGGGUCCAACUCUCCAAAUCCAGUCUCUCUAGGGUGAGGCCCGUGAUUCUGCAGCCGUCAAAAAACCUAGCUCGAUUCCAUGACCGGAAGGCAAAGUUAUCAAGGUUUUAAUUUGCACAGAAUUCUCCAUCUGCAUUCCACAGUGUCGCGCCCGCCAGCCUACCUUAACGGCGCGGUUAGUCGACUCACUUGACACCGACAUCGUCUAAGCUAUCCACCCUAACGUCCUAUGUGCCAUCACUAUACUAACCACCUCGUUGAAAAGCAGUUGUGGACCCUCAGAUAUUCGACGUUUCGUCGAAACAACCGCUGCUUCGUGGCCUAUGGUAAGUAA
rnacentral:lncRNA from 1 species